CUUCAGCGAGCCGAGCCACAGCGGCCGGUCCGCGUCGCGUUCCUUGCCGUACGUGGCCAGCAGGGCCUGCGCCUC
rnacentral:antisense_RNA from 1 species